AUUUAUUGGUUUGUUUUUCACUUUUUCUCAAUGUUUCCUUCUAGGAUAGACAAAUACGCAUGAACGUUUUCCUAUCUCCACUCGUAUUUCUUGAUAGCUGCAUGUUGUGCUUGACGAUUUCAAAUUCUCCUUCCUCUGAUUGCUCUGAGUGAAGGUUCCAGGUUAAAUGCUCAACUACUCAAUCAAUUUUAUCUUUUACUAUAAAUUGAUUCCAAUAAUCUUCAUUCCAUCCACGGUCAAAUUACACAGAGGGGGGGAAUUUGAGUUGGAUUUUCAAUUUUUUGAAUUUUUGGGUUUCUAGAUAUUGAGAAACUAAUUGGGUGGAUAUGAGUGCUGUAGCAUAAAAUAUACAGGUAAAUCUUCUGAUUUCUUUACCCAAUUUUUUUUUUCAUAUUCAGUGGUUCUUGCGGUGUCUUUUUUGAAACUUUGCAGUUGAAUAUAAUUUUAUGUGAAGCAUACAUUGACUCUCACUGAAAAAACAGUAUCCGGUAUAUAAUUUUAUUGAACUGAACCAAUAUCCGAGUAUUCUUGACUUCUUUUGACUGUGAAAAAACAAGAUCAAUUUUACUGACUGGUUCCAAAGUUUAGUGCUUUGUUAUUAAGGUUUGUUCUUUUGGUUGGGGAAGGAUUAAGCAUUCAGUGUUGAAACUCUAUCAAUCUAUAGAAAAGCUAGACUGCAGGGAUUGGAUUCUGUUUAUCAAUUCAGCUUCAAUGUAUCUUCUAGCUCUAAAUAAAGCUCAUUGUAGUCUCUCUAGGCAGAUCUGGUAAUGGGAUAAGUUUUCAAUUUUUUUAAUGGUCACCAUCAUGUUUAGCUCCUUAGGAUAACAUAGUGCAUAAGACAUGGUUGCGAUUGUUGCUUCUCUUUUGUGUGGUAAACAUGGCUGAUACCAAAUUUUUUCCUGUAUUUGCUAGUGUGAACACAUAAAUUAUCUUCCCAAGUGGUGUUUUUUCCUGUCAAGAGAACACCAAGAAUAGGGAGGGAGGCGUCGAUACAGACCAGUUGUUGGAUUAGAUCCAAUCUAGAUCUUGGCGAUGGUUGACUGAGAAAGCAAAAGGGUUCCAUUGUUCUCUCUAUGAUUGGAAGAUGCACCCUAACCCUGUUUUUGAUUUUUUCUAUUUCCUGUUUUCUAAUUUUCAUUUUUAGGUUCUAUAUAUUACCAUUCAAAGAGAAGAUGAUCUUGAAUAUUAGAGCUUUUGAAAGAUGGGAAUUGUUCUGAUGGAGGUGGAGAUGAUGCGAUUUGGUUUAGGCUGUUGAGUUGAUUCAUAUUCUUUGUUUCAUUAUAAUCUCUAUAGAUAGGACAUCUUAAAAAAUCAGGCUUUAGGUGUGGUUGUAAUAUCAGUAUUGAUAGUGUUAAUAAGUGUAUUUUUUGUUUGUUCCAAGAUCUAUCCGGAAGACAUUGUUUUAUUUGUGUUCA